AUUGAACGCUGGCGGCAUGCUUUACACAUGCAAGUCGAACGGUAACAGGCCUUCGGGUGCUGACGAGUGGCGCACGGGUGAGUAAUGCAUCGGAACGUACCCAGAGGUGGGGGAUAACGCAGCGAAAGCUGUGCUAAUACCGCAUGUGAUCUGAGGAUGAAAGCGGGGGACCGAGCAGCAAUGUUUGGCCUCGCGCCUUUGGAGCGGCCGAUGUCGGAUUAGCUAGUUGGUGGGGUAAAGGCCUGCCAAGGCGACGAUCCGUAGCUGGUCUGAGAGGACGACCAGCCAAACUGGGACUGAGACACGGCCCAGACUCCUACGGGAGGCAGCAGUGGGGAAUUUUGGACAAUGGGCGCAAGCCUGAUCCAGCAAUGCCGCGUGCGGGAAGAAGGCCUUCGGGUUGUAAACCGCUUUUGGCAGGAACGAAACGGUGUCCGCUAAUACCGGGCGUUAAUGACGGUACCUGCAGAAUAAGCACCGGCUAACUACGUG
rnacentral:rRNA from 1 species